UACGGAGGGAGCUAGCGUUGUUCGGAAUUACUGGGCGUAAAGCGCACGUAGGCGGCUUUUUAAGUCAGGGGUGAAAUCCCGGGGCUCAACUCCGGAACUGCCCUUGAAACUGCAGUGCUAGAAUCUUGGAGAGGCGAGUGGAAUUCCGAGUGUAGAGGUGAAAUUCGUAGAUAUUCGGAAGAACACCAGUGGCGAAGGCGACUCGCUGGACAAGUAUUGACGCUGAGGUGCGAAAGCGUGGGGAGCAAACAGG
rnacentral:rRNA from 1 species